AAUGAGAGUUUGAUCCUGGCUCAGGACGAACGCUGGCGGCGUGCCUAAUACAUGCAAGUAGAACGCUGACUACUUUAGCUUGCUAGAGUAGAAGGAGUUGCGAACGGGUGAGUAACGCGUAGGUAACCUGCCUACUAGCGGGGGAUAACUAUUGGAAACGAUAGCUAAUACCGCAUAACAGUGUUUAACACAUGUUAGAUGCUUGAAAGAUGCAAAUGCAUCACUAGUAGAUGGACCUGCGUUGUAUUAGCUAGUUGGUGGGGUAACGGCCUACCAAGGCGACGAUACAUAGCCGACCUGAGAGGGUGAUCGGCCACACUGGGACUGAGACACGGCCCAGACUCCUACGGGAGGCAGCAGUAGGGAAUCUUCGGCAAUGGGGGCAACCCUGACCGAGCAACGCCGCGUGAGUGAAGAAGGUUUUCGGAUCGU
rnacentral:rRNA from 2 species